GGAGGAGUGGCCGAGUGGCCGAUGGCGACGGUCUUGAAAACCGUAGAGUGAAAGCUCCGUGGGUUCGAAUCCUACCUCCUCCGCCA
rnacentral:tRNA from 1 species